GAUGAACCAUCUUAUCAUGAUCUUUCCACUGGCUUCACCAAGUCAGCUUAAGGGAGACCAUUAAAAGGGCUGGUCUAGGAGCACCUAAAUCAGUCACACUAAUUUACCUAGCUGACAUGGGUCAGCUCGAAUAGUCAAGUGAUCCGAUCAAAACAUAAUUUCACCAAGAGGCCAGGUAAGUUCGAUCAGUGGGAGGAUC
rnacentral:lncRNA from 1 species